rnacentral:rRNA from 1 species
GACGAACGCUGGCGGCGUGCUUAACACAUGCAAGUCGAACGGAAAGGCUCCAGCUUGCUGGAGUACUCGAGUGGCGAACGGGUGAGUAACACGUGGGUAAUCUGCCCUGCACUCUGGGAUAAGCCUGGGAAACUGGGUCUAAUACUGGAUAUGACCUUUCUCCUUAUGGGGUUGGGUGGAAAGUUUUUCGGUGUAGGAUGAGCCCGCGGCCUAUCAGCUUGUUGGUGGGGUGAUGGCCUACCAAGGCGACGACGGGUAGCCGGCCUGAGAGGGUGAUCGGCCACAUUGGGACUGAGAUACGGCCCAGACUCCUACGGGAGGCAGCAGUGGGGAAUAUUGCACAAUGGGCCGAAGCCUGAUGCAGCGACGCCGCGUUAGGGAUGACGGCCUUCGGGUUGUAAACCUCUUUCAGCAGAGACGAAGCGUAAGUGACGGUACCUGAAGAAGAAGCACCGGCUAACUACGUG